GCGUAACGCGUAUGCAACCUACCCCAGAUCGGGGAACAACCCUUCGAAAGAGGGGCUAAUACCGCGCUAAGAUGGUAGACCGGCAUCGGUUAGCCAUUAAACUUUCGGGGAUCUGGGAUGGGCAUGCGUCUGAUUAGCUAGUUGGCGGGGUAAAAGCCCACCAAGG
rnacentral:rRNA from 1 species